rnacentral:siRNA from 1 species
UGACAUAGGAUUGCAUACGCGUC